UACGGAGGAUGCGAGCGUUAUCCGGAUUUACUGGUGUAAAGGGAGCGCAGACGGCAGUGCAAGUCUGGAGUGAAAGCCCGGGGCCCAACCCCGGGACUGCUCUGGAAACUGUACGGCUAGAGUACGGGAGGGGCAGGCGGAAUUCCUAGUGUAGCGGUGAAAUGCGUAGAUAUUAGGAGGAACACCGGCGGCGAAGGCGGCCUGCUGGACCGAAACUGACGUUGAGGCUCGAAAGCGUGGGGAGCAAACAGG
rnacentral:rRNA from 1 species